GACGAACGCUGGCGGCGUGCUUAACACAUGCAAGUCGAACGGAAAGGCCCUUCGGGGUACUCGAGUGGCGAACGGGUGAGUAACACGUGGGUGAUCUGCCCUGCACUUUGGGAUAAGCCUGGGAAACUGGGUCUAAUACCGAAUAGGACCGCGCGCUUCAUGGUGUGUGGUGGAAAGCUUUUGCGGUGUGGGAUGGGCCCGCGGCCUAUCAGCUUGUUGGUGGGGUAAUGGCCUACCAAGGCGACGACGGGUAGCCGGCCUGAGAGGGUGACCGGCCACACUGGGACUGAGAUACGGCCCAGACUCCUACGGGAGGCAGCAGUUGGGAAUAUUGCACAAUGGGCGCAAGCCUGAUGCAGCGACGCCGCGUGAGGGAUGACGGCCUUCGGGUUGUAAACCGCUUUCACCAGGGACGAAGCGCAAGUGACGGUACCUGGAGAAGAAGCACCGGCCAACUACGUG
rnacentral:rRNA from 1 species